rnacentral:rRNA from 1 species
UACGUAGGGUGCGAGCGUUGUCCGGAAUUAUUGGGCGUAAAGAGCUCGUAGGCGGUGUGUCACGUCGUUCGUGAAAACCUGCAGCUUAACUGUGGGCGUGCGGUCGAUACGGGCAUCACUGGAGUUCGGCAGGGGAGACUGGAAUUCCUGGUGUAGCGGUGAAAUGCGCAGAUAUCAGGAGGAACACCGGUGGCGAAGGCGAGUCCCUGGACAACUCCUGACACUGAGGCACGAAAGCUAGGGGAGCAAACAGG